rnacentral:rRNA from 1 species
UUCCCCAUUACUUAUCGCUUUCCGUGUUUUCUGAGGAAACCAAGAGUUCCGUGAUGAAAGUUUAUAAUUAAAGGCUAUCAGCCCCAUUAAUGACAUUCUAUACAUUCGUAUGGUAUAUAAACACAUAGCUGAAGCACAAGAAAGCUAAGCUUCUGCAUAGCAUCCCUCAAACCGAUAUACUCGAGUAUUGCUCCAUAUCUACAAAAUGUGCACAGGGGUAAAAGUGGCGCUAGGCGUCCACAUGCUCCAAAAACCCACCCCACCCCCACCAAGUUUAUUCAAUAAUUGUCCCCCCCUUCGUGAGAGGGGUGACCUGCGGAAGGAUCAUUA